rnacentral:rRNA from 2 species
AAAUUUGAGAGUUUGAUCCUGGCUCAGAAUGAACGCUGGCGGCAGGCCUAACACAUGCAAGUCGAACGGAGUUAUAUUGUAGCUUGCUAUGGUAUAACUUAGUGGCAGACGGGUGAGUAAUGUAUAGGAAUCUACCUAGUAGUACGGAAUAAUUGUUGGAAACGGCAACUAAUACCGUAUACGCCCUACGGGGGAAAAAUUUAUUGCUAUUAGAUGAGCCUAUAUUAGAUUAGCUAGUUGGUGGAGUAAUAGCCUACCAAGGCAAUGAUCUAUAGCUGAUCUGAGAGGAUGAUCAGCCACACUGGAACUGAGAUACGGUCCAGACUCCUACGGGAGGCAGCAGUGGGGAAUAUUGGACAAUGGGCGAAAGCCUGAUCCAGCCAUGCCGCAUGAGUGAAGAAGGCCUUUGGGUUGUAAAGCUCUUUUAGUGAGGAAGAUAAUGACGGUACUCACAGAAGAAGUCCUGGCUAACUCCGUGCCAGCAGCCGCGGUAAUACGGAGAGGGCUAGCGUUAUUCGGAAUUAUUGGGCGUAAAGGGCGCGUAGGCGGAUUAGUAAGUUAAAAGUGAAAUCCCAAGGCUCAACCUUGGAAUUGCUUUUAAAACUGCUAAUCUAGAGAUUGAAAGAGGAUAGAGGAAUUCCUAGUGUAGAGGUGAAAUUCGUAAAUAUUAGGAGGAACACCAGUGGCGAAGGCGUCUAUCUGGUUCAAAUCUGACGCUGAGGCGCGAAGGCGUGGGGAGCAAACAGGAUUAGAUACCCUGGUAGUCCACGCUGUAAACG